GUGCGUAGUCGCGAAAAACUAUGAAGACGCAGCUCUCGCGUCGAGCGGUCCUCAGAAUCCUCCGGUCGUCCUCCAGUUCAAAAAAUCAGCAAAUAAAUCCAACAUUUCUUGCAAAGUGAAAUGCGAAAAACGCGUCGCAGAGUAAUCACAUCGCAAAUACAGCGAAAUUAAGAGAAUUGAAGAAUCAAGCGAAACCCAGUGAAGAAUCGAAACGAAUCGAAUCGAAAGGAAGAAUCGGAAGAAGAAUCAGAAUCAGCGGAAUCGGAAUCGGAAUAACACUAAAUAUAUGUAACCACCAUUAAAAAGCAAUCAAAAAAGCAACCAAACAAACAACAAAAAGCAACAAAAGUGCCAUAUGCAACCGAUAAGACUGUGUGAAUGGUCAAGUGGUCAUCAGCAUCAAAGCGAUUCUCUCUCUCCCCCGCAUGUGUGUGAGUGAGUGAUUGGCGAGUGUGUGUGUGUGUGAGAGAGAGAGUGGGUGAAAG